CUUGGCCUCAGUUGGGGACAUGCACAGUACCUUGCCCGCAACCGUCGAGAAUGGAGACGAACUAUACUGGCCUUAUGUCCCACCAUGUACAGUAUGAUGAGGCCUAACCUGCAGGCAGGUAUGGAUUGACUGCAGCAUUUAGAUUGAUGAGCAUUCCCAUGACAUAGUAGCACAGUACUAAAAUAUGGAACUGCGAGCGGCAUGGAGAGCAUGCGUAGAAAACAACUUGAGUCAAAGUCCACGGGACGAAACAAGUCUUAAAGACAGUCAGCACUGUCAAGAUCGCUUGGGUCACCUUUCGCUCGCGCUCGAGGGCCAAUCGGACAGUCGUCGCCGAGGAUUCGAAUCUCUGAACUCGCUUUGCUUGUCGGUGAACAAAGAACAAUAUGAAGGAAUAAAAUACUUGGAUUAUGAGUA